UACCAAGGCGACGAUCUGUAGCUGGUCUGAGAGGACGACCAGCCACACUGGGACUGAGACACGGCCCAGACUCCUACGGGAGGCAGCAGUGGGGAAUUUUGGACAAUGGGCGCAAGCCUGAUCCAGCAAUGCCGCGUGUGUGAAGAAGGCCUUCGGGUUGUAAAGCACUUUUGUCCGGAAAGAAAACCUCUGCCCUAAUACGGCGGGGGGAUGACGGUACCGGAAGAAUAAGCACCGGCUAACUACGUGCCAGCAGCCGCGGUAAUACGUAGGGUGCAAGCGUUAAUCGGAAUUACUGGGCGUAAAGCGUGCGCAGGCGGUUCGCUAAGACAGAUGUGAAAUCCCCGGGCUUAACCUGGGAACUGCAUUUGUGACUGGCGGGCUAGAGUAUGGCAGAGGGGGGUAGAAUUCCACGUGUAGCAGUGAAAUGCGUAGAGAUGUGGAGGAAUACCGAUGGCGAAGGCAG
rnacentral:rRNA from 1 species